AAUCCAAUCAAGCCUGGCUUGGUAUUGGGCGCCGGGACGUCCCCGCGCCUUAAUUUCACCGGCUGGCCGUCGCCCGUCUUAGCGUUUAUGACUUAGUUCCGCUAGUGAUGGGAGGGGGAUCACGCCGUCAAAAUCCACGAAUUUCAAUCGAAAUUCGAUUAGG
rnacentral:misc_RNA from 1 species